UACGAAAGGAGCAGGUGUUAUUCAGAUUAACUGGGCGUAAAGGGCACGUAGGUGGUUUGUUAUGUGUACUAUAAAAUUAUAAAGCAUAACUUUAUACUGUAGUAUAGACAACUAAACUAGAGUUAGGUAGAGGGUAGUAGAAUUUCUAAUGUAAAGGUGAAAUUUGAUAAAUUUAGAGAGAAUACCAAUGGCGGAGGCAACUACCUGGGCAUUAGCUGACACUGAGGUGCGAAGGUAUGGGGAGCAAAUAGG
rnacentral:rRNA from 1 species